UUUAAAUUAUCACGAAUUUUAUACAAUAUUAAUCAUAAAACGGGACUUAAAACGCUUAAAACUUAAUUACAUGCGAUUAAGUUUUAUAAUGAAUAUUUGCUUCCAACUGUCUUUAUCAAUGUUCAUAAAAUAUAUGGAGGGUAGGUACGUCUACCCACCAUAAUAAAAAAAUAUAUUUGUCAAUGACUCUGUCCAACUGCUGUGGUUAAAGUUCAUAACGAAAAUUUUAUUUAUUAACUCUUUAAAUAAUACAUACAACGUGUACCGCUACGUACCACUUAAGACUGUAAGUCUGUACCUACAUGGAUUACAGCAAUGCACAUAGAAAAUGUGCUAAAUGCGGAGCAACGGCUGUUGAAGCAGCCAGAGUGAAAUUUACAACUUUAGUGGGUUCAGAAGGAACCGAGUCAUAACGCAUCUGGAAAGCGUAUUAAUUAACCGUGAAGAAAUGUAUGAAUACAAUGUAGUGUAUCUGUGUGUAAAGUGUAAUAGGUAGGCAUGCCUAAUGUUAUUUGUAUAAAAGGUACUGAAAACUUUGUGAAUGCGCUUUAUUAAUGUCUAUUUUUUUAUUAAGUUGCCAGUUGCCAGUUUUCAGUGUAUAUUUUUAUAUGUAAAACAUUUUUUAAUAAAUAAUAUAUAUAAUGUUAUAAACAUAAA